rnacentral:rRNA from 1 species
AUUGAACGCUGGCGGCAUGCUUUACACAUACAAGUCGAACGGUAACAGGGUGCUUGCACCGCCGACGAGUGGCGAACGGGUGAGUAAUGCGUCGGAACGUGCCGAGUAGUGGGGGAUAACGCAGCGAAAGUUGUGCUAAUACCGCAUACGUACUGAGGUAGAAAGUGGGGGACCUUCGGGCCUCACGCUAUUCGAGCGGCCGACGUCUGAUUAGCUAGUAGGUGAGGUAAAGGCUCACCUAGGCGACGAUCAGUAGCGGGUCUGAGAGGAUGGUCCGCCACACUGGGACGGAGACACGGCCCAGACUCCUACGGGAGGCAGCAGUGGGGAAUUUUGGACAAUGGGCGAAAGCCUGAUCCAGCCAUGCCGCGUGUCUGAAGAAGGCCUUCGGGUUGUAAAGGACUUUUGUCAGGGAGGAAAUCCCUAGUGCUAAUAACACUGGGGGAUGACAGUACCUGAAGAAUAAGCACCGGCUAACUACGUGCCAGCCGCCGCCGUAA